GGGCUAUAUGGUGCAGCCCAUUGCUCCCAGGCUACAAAUCUGUACAGUACAUUACUGUACUGAAUACUGUAGGCAACUGUAACACAAUGGUCAAUCACUAGAUGUGGUCUCUCACUGGCAACAUUAGCAGUGGACUUUGUAUGAUCACAGGCCAUGAUGAAGAAAACAACACAAUAUUAAACCAAGCACAAGAGAAAAUGAUGCAAUCAAGAGAUACAGUAAACACAGGAUGUAUGAGGCUGCUGCCGACAUACACAGCAUACUGCUUUAAAGUAAAUUUUUUUAAUUGACGCAAGAGUUGAGAGAGAAGUCUGAAUAGCCCUUCUAUUUGGCUGCCGCAAAUUUCUGAGAAUAAUGGACUUUCUUCUCUUCUGCCUUCCAAAUCACUCAAGCUCUUCUCGUUGGCAAUCUCCAACCAUACAGAGAAAGGAAGCCAUAUAAAAUCCAUUCAAGGAGAGAUAUUCUGGGAAAUGUAGGGGUUUGGUUUGGGGUUUUUGGGGUUUUUUUUUUGCAUAGGGGAGAAAUUAAUUUGUACUCUUCUUACAAUUGUUUUCUAAGUUGGAAAUCAUUGUAAAAUAAAAAGUUUAAG
rnacentral:lncRNA from 1 species